UUGUCGUCACCGCCGACGACCCAACCCCCCUCCUCCACCCCCCAAACUCCCCAGCCGUCCCGCCCCAUCGCGUCGCCGCUGCCGCCACCUCCGUCGCGUCCUCCAUCAUCGGGGCAUCGCGCGGCGCGCUCCUGCGGCCCCCACCCCGUCCGCGGUCUCUGGCCGCCGAGCCUCGAGGUACGAGCUAGGUCGUCUCCGUCCGGCGAUCCUCCUGCUCAAAUCCCAUUCCCGGAUGCGCGCAGUCUAGAUCACCAUGCUGCUGUGGCGCCGCAAAUGCGUUGCCGAGUGCCGCAGGCACGCCCGGGCCCCUCCCGCGGCGCAGCCAUCCCCAUCCCCUCGCCGCCGCCGCCGCCGCCUCUCCGUGCUCGCCGCCUGGGCGCACCACCCGGACAACGACGCCACCUCGAGCGGCGAGGAGAGGCCCAGCUGCGCUCCCCCCGGCGAGGUUUUCCGGAGAAGGGGCUGCGCUCCCGGUGAGAUUACCCGGAGAAGGGGCUUUGCUCCGAGCCUGAGCUCCGCCGGAGUCGUCAGGACUCUUCAGCGCCUGGAGAGGAAGCCUGCCAUCGCGUUCGCCUACUUCAAGGACACCGAGAGCAUCGGCUUUCGCCAUGACCUUGCCACCUACACGGAGAUCAUCCGCGUUCUGUCACAUAAGGGCCAGGGGAAGAUGCUGCUUUCCUUGUUCCGUGAGAUCCUCUCGCGGCUCUCGUCAGCCGAUGGUGGCGGCGGCUGCCCUGAGAUCGUGCCGCUCAUGCAUCAGCUCAGAAGGACGUGCGCAGCUUCAGAUGCUCUCUUGUUUGCGACUAAUUGCUUGAUCAUGACAUGCACCACUUGUUGCAGUGCACCGGACACAAUAGGGCUGUUUGGUGAACUCUGUAGGCUUGGAAUUGUCCCGGCAGUUUGGACUUGCAACAUACUUCUCAAAUUUGCAGCUGAGAGCGGUGACUCGGAGAUUGUUGUAUCGGCUUAUGAUCAAAUUAAGCUCUUUGGAUUGACUUUGGAUGCUCACGCGUUAGGCAUUAUCACCAGGUCUCUCUUUCGAGAAAAGAAGGCAGACAAAGCAUUCCAAGUGUGGGUUGAGAUGAUUGAAAUGGGGGUGAAACCAGAUAUAAAUGCAUACUCAUCAUUUAUAACCGGUCUGUGUGAUUGCGGAAAGAUUGAUUUGGCUUAUGCUAUUCUGCAAGAGAUCAGCAGGGAAGGGGUUCAAGUUAAGCCCAUGGCUUAUAACAUGGUAAUGGAUGGGCUGUGCAAGGAAAUGAGACUACAGGAGGUUGAAAUGCUCUUGGAGAACAAGACGAGACAAGGUUUCACCCCAGAUAUAUAUGGUUAUAGCUAUCUCAUUCGGAGUUAUGGCAAAGCGGGCAACUUACUCAAGGUGUUGGAUCAUUAUCAAGCCAUGGUAUCCCAUAGUUUCGAAACAAAUUGCCACAUUGCGAGUUAUCUUCUACAAUGCUUUAUGAAUUUAGGCAUGACAUCUGAGGUUACAGAGCAUUUCCAGAAACUGAGAGAUUCGGGACUCCACGUAGAUGGGGUUCUGUAUAACAUUGCCAUUUAUGCUUACUGCAAGCUUGGGAACAUGGAUGAGGCGGUUAAGCUACUUAGAGAAAUGAAGGCUGAGGGUCUGACACCUGACAGAAUUCACUAUACAUGUGUGAUCAAGGGUUAUUGUUUGAAGGGAGAUGUACCAAAUGCACGUCAAGCAUUUGAAGUGAUGCUGAAGGCAAAUGUAAAGCCAGAUGUAGUUACAUAUAACAUAUUGGCCAGUGGAUUUUGCAAGAAUGGUCUUGUUACUGAGGUGUUUGACCUUCUUGACCAUAUGGCGGAUCAAGGGUUAGCGCCUAAUUCACUCACUUAUGGUAUAAUAAUUGAUGGAUAUUGCAGAAGUGGCAACCUUAGUGAAGCCGAGGUGUUAUUUAAUAUAGUAGAAGAGAAAGGAAUCGAUCACAUUGAAGUAUUGUACAGUUCAAUGGUUUGUGGCUAUUUGCAUUCAGGCUGGACUGAUCAUGCUUACAUGCUUUUUCUUAGGGUUUCUAAGCAAGGAAAAAUUGUGGAUCAUUUCUCAUGUUCAAAGUUGACGAAUGACCUUUGUAGGGAUGGAAAUGCCCAGGGAGCUUCAACAGUUUGCAGCAUGAUGUUAGAAAAUAAUAUUAUUCCUGAUGUAAUUUCAUAUAGCAAACUCAUAUCAGCCUAUUGUCAGACCGGAGAUAUGCGCAAUGCUCACUUAUGGUUUCAUGAUAUGGUUCAGCGAGGACUUUCUGUUGAUGUUAUUGUGUACACUGUACUAAUGAAUGGUUAUUGCAAGGUUGGCCAGAUGGAAGAAGCUUGCAAAUUGUUUGAUCAGAUGAUAAACUUAGGUAUUAAGCCUGACGUAAUUGCAUAUACCGUGCUACUGGAUGGUCACCUAAAAGAGUACCUGCAGCGGUGCUGGCAGGGUGUUACUAAGGAGAGAGGGAUCUAUCUUCUUAGAGUAAAGCAGAACCGGUUGCUCAGCUCUAUGGAAAAAAUGGAAAUUGAACCUGAUGUACCCUUCUACACCGUAUUGAUAGAUGGGCAGUGCAAAGCCGAUUUUUUAGAGGAAGCCCGGGGACGAUUUGAUGAAUUGUUGCAGAAAGGGCUUACUCCUGAUCAAUAUAUAUACACAGCUCUUAUAAGUGGGUAUUGCAGCCAGGGAGAAAUGGAGAAGGCACAAGAUCUUUUUGAAGAAAUGGUUGACAGGGGAAUAAAACCAGAUGCACUGACCUUUUCUGUAUUAAAUCAGAAAACCUUGAGGGAAAGGCAGUAUCAGUGACAUGUAUGAUUUCACUGCAGUUAUAUCCACUGAAAUCACGUCAGCAAGUUCAUUCAGUGUUAACCUGGUGUUUUUAGUUGGGGAUGUUACAAAGGUCACCAAAUCAAAUUAUUUCUGCUGAAAAGAUGGGAAGUUCUUCCCUGAUGGGUUCCAUUUGCAUAUCAACGACUGAGCGUUUGAUUCAUUGCAAAGCAAGCUGUAGAGCUUGUGGAGGCUCCGGAGGUCGUGGAUGCAGCUGACCGGAAGCAUUCCUUUUGGAGGCUCCGGAAGUCCUGGUGCAAGAAGAGACAGAUCAGUCAUAAGGUGGCCAAGUUCAAAUUUGCUCUCUGAACACUUCUACUCCUCAUAUCCUGGUCUACGGUUAUGAUGUUGAGUUGAAUGUUCAUUCUUUUUGGUUCAUGGAGUGAGUCGAAUAUUCUGGUUCUGUUUUAUGUAUUUUGUUAACUGACUGCAGAGGGAAGGAUGCUACUGGUGAGGAAGUAAUCAAGCCUUAUACUCCGACUACAUUGGAUUCUGAUAUUGGAUACGUUGAGCUUUGUUAUAAAGGUAACUUAUCGUAAA